rnacentral:rRNA from 1 species
UCCGUAGGGCGCAAGCGUUGUUCGGAUUUAUUGGGCGUAAAGAGCGUGUAGGCGGCCUGAAAGGUCAGCUGUGAAAACUCGAGGCUCAACCUCGAGACGUCGGUUGAAACCAUCUGGCUAGAGUCCGGAAGAGGAGAGUGGAAUUCCCGGUGUAGCGGUGAAAUGCGCAGAUAUCGGGAAGAACACCAGUGGCGAAGGCGGCUCACUGGCCCGAUACUGACGCUGAGGCACGAAAGCGUGGGGAGCAAACAGG